rnacentral:rRNA from 1 species
UACGUAGGGUGCAAGCGUUGUCCGGAAUUAUUGGGCGUAAAGAGCUCGUAGGCGGCUUGUCGCGUCGGCUGUGAAAACCCGGGGCUCAACCCCGGGCCUGCAGUCGAUACGGGCAGGCUAGAGUCCGGUAGGGGAGACUGGAAUUCCUGGUGUAGCGGUGAAAUGCGCAGAUAUCAGGAGGAACACCGGUGGCGAAGGCGGGUCUCUGGGCCGUAACUGACGCUGAGGAGCGAAAGCGUGGGGAGCGAACAGG